rnacentral:lncRNA from 1 species
UAAAGAAAGUGUUCGCGGAAGGAUUUGUCAUUAACCACCGCUAACGAAUACUCUAGUGAAUAAGAGAAUAGGUCAUUAAAUUUGUAAAUGAUGUAUUAAUGUAGAAAGUAAAAUUGAAAUGGGGAAUAUUAUUUUUUCUUGAAAUCCAUUAAGAUAUUUAGAAAAAGGAAAGUUGUGCUGAUAAAUACGGGUAAUUGAAAGUUGCUUGGGAUUGGUUGAUUUUUGAAUGCUGUAAGGGGUAAUUUGGAAAUAGGAGAAUGGAUGAGAGAUGUGUGGCAGAAUGUUUUUGGCGAUCGAAAGGCGAAGGCCGGUUUUCGAGAAGAGUGUACAAAAAAAA